CUAUAUAUACAAACACACUUAACAACUUAACAAACUUCUAACAAAGCUAACAACUAAAUACGUCAAAUGAUGCCAUUUGUCCAUUGCCAUCCAACAUACUUAAUAGUGACACAUGUCAUUUUAUACCCCCCUCAAUCCCAACAGGAGAAACCCAUUUUGAGAUUAGAAGAACAUUUGCAAUCACUACUUAAAGCUAAACUCUGAAGAAAAACCCAAUCAUCUGUCUCUUGUUGAUCUUGAAGCUCAAAACAUUUGAGUGUAAAGUUUAUACCCAUCCAACAUACCAGAUAGUACAUGCCUUGCAAACUCGAUUACAUUAGAGUCAUUAAACCCUUCAGAAACCAAAUUUACAUCCUUGAGCUGAGAUAUAAAAUUUAGGUUUUGGAGUUGCCAAAACCCCUAUCAAAUCCAUGUUCUGGUAUUCCAAACAAAUAGAAUUCGUAAAUAUCCAAACCGUUGACCCUCAAAUUAAUGUCUCCACCUCUGUAGCUACUUGACCAAAAUCCUCUGUCUGUGGAAACAGUCCAAAUUUGUUCCAUUGCCUUACUGUAAAGCAAAACCUUUAAAACAUAAUGCAUGAACCAAUUCUUCAAGACUUGAAACAAUUAUGAUGCACAUAUCCAGAAAUCAUGACACCCUGUAUUUGUUUGCCUCUAACAGAAAGCUUGACACAGACUAACCUUCUAUAAAAAGUCGUAGCACACCUUCAUGCUGGUAUAAGAACUUCUUAUGAGAUUACCCUUUCAUGGGAUUUACCGUCAACAAUCUCAUUCAACAUUGGCUUCGGCCUUUAAUAUUUACAAAAACAGAAAAUUAACAAAAUAUAGUGUGGUAUCGGCUUUAACUAUAGUACCACGGGAUUGUCAUUUGUGGAUUUUACCAGAAACAACUUUUCUUAACAAUGGCAUUAGCCUUCACAAUUUCAAGAAUAGAAAAUCAACAUCUAUGUAGGAUUACCCUUCGUGGGAUUUACCUACUCAUAACACGGGAUUACCCUUCGUGGGAUUUAACAUCAACAACUUCUUCAAACUUCAUCUUUUUAAGACACAUACAACCGGACUUCUUAUAGAUACAUGCUACAACUAAGCUUGUUAGACUUGAUAUUAUAGGUUGUGAUGGAGCAAAAAAAAACAAAAAACAAAAAACAAAAAAUUCACGAACUCCUCAGUAAUCUUUUCCAGACAUCGCACUUCUCAAUUUGGCACAAGUCAGUGGUAGUAAUUUCAAGUUUCAAGAAGCAAUUAAGAAUAAAGUAGUCUUCAGGCAAAGAAACAUGAGCAAUUGGAUAUAUAGACCAUAUCUCCAAAUAACACAAAUCACUAGUAGAUACAUCAAUUUACCAAGAAUUAGGAUUUUGGCGCAUUAAGAGAAAGUUGACAAACUUUGGAGAUGUAGAAGUAAGCACAACAGGAUCAUGGAGAGAAAGCCAGAAUAUUCGUACCCAUCUCAUUGUCUCUUAGAGCCUAAGAAAAAUCGUCAAACACCUGGUGUGCUAAAGUACCAGGGAUAUCUACUUGCACAAUAACCCAAUUGUGGAUCCAAAGAACAAGCUUUGUGUCUUAAAAUUUCAUUAACUGUUGAUAGUUCGAUCAAGAAAUGAAAGCAAGAACGUGAAAUUAAACCAAGAAUUCAGAACGAAAUCAUACCCUAAAGUCCAAAUAUAUCACAUUGCUGAAAUCACUUCAUCUCUGAAAUCACAGGCUACGCACGGAAAAUGAAAAACCUAUACAUGAUCUUGACGUUGUUGAGUAAAAAUUGGGGUGGUGAUGUUCGAUGGUUGGGAAAAGGACAAGCAGCAGUGCGGACAAGCCUCUGUUUUAGUAGUCGGGCAGUUGAAGGCCUUAAUUGAAAAAUCUCUUGCUAUGGUCACGACCCGUCUUUGGAGCCCUUCUAAGAUGAUGUCAACAACGAUGAUUAGCCUGACCGAGACCAGUCUUAGACUCCCGUCCACUAUGAAUCAUCAUCACUGCCUUCUUAGAAAUUUCAUUUUCUUUCCUUGUAUUAGGAGGAUAAGAACUUGAUGAAAAUAUGAAAAGACCCCGAAUUCAAGAACCAACAAUUUAAGAACUGAAAAUUAAACCAGAAGGUACAUAACAAACUGAACCAUUGUGGAAGCAUUGAAGAAAUUAACGGAAUUUCUAACAAAAAUUAGAAAAGAAAUAAAGACUAGAAAGAGAUGAAACUAACGAGAAGUGGAACUAGCAGAAUCCAUGGUGUGAACGUGGCUCUGAUACCAUGUUAACUACAUAGCAAAAUAUGAAAGUUUGAUGCAGUUUACAGAAGAAGAAGAUGAUAGAGGGAGAAACAAAGGAGAGAUGUAGUAGAAAAUGAAAGCUCUUGAAUUGAUUAAUCCUUCUGAUACAAUAGUUCUAGCUAUAUAUACAAACACACUUAACAACCUCACAAACUUCUAACAAAGCUAACAACUAAAUACAUUAAAUGAUGCCAUUUGUCCAUUGCCAUCCAACAUACCGGAUAGUGACACACAUCACAAAUCAACCAUAUCUCUGAGAAAAAAAGAGAUUAAAUAUCCUAACCCCCACUCCAACUAAUACCAAGGCCAUUUGUGAUAAAACCACACACCUAAAAGAUUGUGUAUGUGAUAAUUACCAAGUUAGAGAUUAUAUUAGUGUUGUUGGAAGUGGGUCUUUAGUCCGUCUCUCUGAUAAUUCUACAUGGUAUAUUAGAAACAGGGAGCGGGCUCGUAUUGCCACGUGAUGGGUGGAUCUUAUUGGCCCCUUGCGAUGAUGGUGGGUCCUUGGUUAUGCAUGUAGGGUGAGUCCCCUUAGCUCCAGGUGGUUGUCAAUUUGUGGAUCUCCCACGUGUGACCCACUAAUUGGAUCUCAUGUGAGGAGGCGUGUUGAAAUAUCACACGUUGACUGUAUCUCUGCGAAAAGAAGAGCUUAAGUAUUUUAACCCUAGUCCAACUAAUACCAUGACUAUUUGUGAUAAAACCCCACACCUGACGGAAUGUCCAUGUGGGGGCUAAGUGGCUGACCACUGCCCCAAUUUGUCCCUAGACGUUUGAAAAUUAAUAAAGGACGCUUAGGCGUUUGCCUAAUCCGCCUAGAUCCUCCUAGGCACCUGCCUAGGUUGUGACUCUUACGUAUAGAGAAAAUCGAUAACUUUAAUUUUGCAUUUUUUUUAAUAAAAUGUAAGAGACUUGUUGAAUAAUUGGAUGAACACUCAUUAUAUGCUUGUUCCACAUAUUUUCAGAUGAACACUCAUUACAUGCUUGUUCCCCAUAUUUUCAAUGUGUUCUAAUAUUUUAUAAUAUGUAUGUCAUUUUAUUUUGCAAUUUAUGUAUCCCAAUGCAACUAUGUGUUUUUUAAGUAUAAAUAGACACUUAUUUAUACAUAUAUAAUAAAUUAUUUAAAUCCUCAUAUGCCCUAGCCUACUGCCCAACUAGCGCCUAGCGUCUUUUAAAACCUUACUUAUAAGUGAGAGGUUUUAGAUUUGAUUCUCGCUAAAGGUGAAUUUGAACUACAUAAUUAUGGCUCACCCAUUGUGAGGCUUAGCUCACUCUUUCAUCCCCUUAGUGUAGAUAAUAUCGUUUGUUAAAAUAAAACCUAUCAAACUAAUCUAAACACACAAUUAGAGGUGUGUUUUAUUUAGGGUUUUUAUCACAAAUGGUCCCUGACAUUCACUACCGCACAUCAAUUUGGUCUUUUUGUUAAAAUUUCAUCAACUAUGUGGGACCCACAAAUCCAAUGAAUUGAUGACAAGUGGAUUACAUAAAAUAAGGGUUUUUAUCGCAAAUGGUCCCUGACAUUGAGCCAACUCCUCAUUUUGGUCCUAGGUUUCAAAAAUCGAUAAAUUUGGUCCUUGAAUUUCAAUAUCGCACAUUAAUUUAAUCCUUCCGUUAAAGUUUCGUCAAUAUCUUUUGUCCCACUAACUCAAU
rnacentral:lncRNA from 1 species